GGAGAAUGCAAGUUUGGGAGGUGCUGUGUAAGAAACCUCAGUAAGUUUCUACAGUGAUUCAUGUAUAAAGGAACCAUAGCAUACCUGUGGUGGAACAAGUUGAUAUUUAACAUGGUGUGACGUGAAGAUGUGACGUAGUUUCUGAGGCCCUGUUCUCCUCUGCUGUAAGAGAAGACCUGAUCUGGUCCUAAAGCUGACGUGACAGGAGAUGGAAGCAGCAAGGCAACAGCACAUCACGGGCCAUCGCGGUGGAUGCAGGUCAGGAAUUGCUCAAUAUCAGGAAAGAUGAUGCUGGCAGCACACUCACUUGAGCGCCUGUAUCACACAGGAAAUGUCACCCUGAAAGGGUGUCUGUAAUGACAUCCCUGACAACUGGAACCCACAGACCUCUGAUGCACUGGCACUGCUCAAGCUUCAAGGUGGUAAGCAUUUCCUCACGCUCCUACCAAAGCAAGCAUGGUGAAAGCUCAGACCCAGCUAUGUCCGUUUCACAUUCGCAGGAGUCCUUAUGAUGGAGGCCUUGCUGACUGGGCUUAUUGAGGCAGGGAAAGGAAGAGGAAUGAUGCACCUCUGCAUGGCUGAGUGUAGACUAUCAGCCAUUUUAGAAAGCUCCCUAUAGUCCUUGAUGGGUGCAUUAGUGAGUGCUAUGCAGACUUGAUCAGGCACUUGUUGCAUGGAAAGCUCUUUAAGAAUAAAGCAAGGACGGUGAUUUCCCAGGAACAACAGCAUGUGGUCCAUUAGCUCUGAAGGCUUAGCAUCCCCAAGGCCAGGCAAGGAGAGAAACUCAGACUCCGAAAGUCCAGAGGUCUGUAAAAUGAGUGUUCAGUGAUCUGUAUUUAUC